rnacentral:tRNA from 1 species
GUGGGUGUAGCUCAGUGAUAGAGCACAUGCUUAGCAUGCAUGAGGUCCUGAGUUCAACCCCCAGUACCUCUA